UUCAUCGUCCUCCUCGUCUACGACACACCCGAGCCCAGAGCUCCUCGUGUUUGUCGUCGUCAAGCCGUCGUCCAGCGCACUUCUGUUAAUUUUGCAUCGAUUUUCGCUCCCCUUGGUGCUGCAUGUUUCGACAUUUCACGUUUGGCCACAACUCCUUCAUUGAUGUCAUCUCGUUCGAGGGCAGAGUGUGAUGCAGAGGACACCGAAGCAGUGGUUACUUAGUGCUUGAAUUGAGUCGCUGUGGAUCUCUGUUGAGUUUGCGCCGUGGAUGGGAGGGGGACGAUAACCUGUUCUUGGUUUUCAGCCAGGGUUUGGUCCUUAAGGGAUGGAUUUAUUUCUGAAUUGCUGUGACGGAGGGAGGUUUUCAGUUUCAGUUGAAGCUGUGGUUGAAUGGCAAAGAAGACAAUUGCUCGUGGUCGAGGUUGUGUGCACGAGGGGCUUCAUUUCUUGUAGUGACCAAUUCUCGUUGCGCUUGUGCUUGGUGGGAUUGAUACGUAAAUAUCGUAGCUUGAGCAAAGUGGAACUCAGCUACGAGUGUGUGAACGUCGAUUGUUUCUUCAGGGUUUGGGCUCCACGAUGCAUUUUCUAGAAGUUAGGACCAGAGUAUUGGCUUGCUGUUCUUGGUACAUUUUAGAGUUUUCGGUGGAGGGAUGGCGUCAUGCCAGGUUGGGAAUUGUUGCUGGGAGGUCUUUCCAAAGGAAAUCUCAAGUGUUGAAUGGUUAAUUGCCAUUUUAUAGAUAUUGUUUCUUAUUAUUUGGAGGGGAACUGCAAUUCUGUGUAGCCGUUUGAAAGGAAAGCAGUAACUCAGAAGGGCGUUCGCGCAAGAAAUCGAUCUCGGCGUAGUUGCAUUUUCAGCUCUAGUUUGAAGGGCAAUAUGAAGAGAUUUUUCAAAUCCGUUCGUCGAGAAGGUUCCUUCAAAAGGUUGGCAGCCUCUUGUGGAGAGAAUGGAACUCCUAUCUGCUUUAGAGAAGAUUCUGAGAAAAGGGAACCAUCCAAGUUCAUGUCAUGGAAUGCAAAUAGCUUUUUUCUUCGCUCAAAAAGUAACCGAGAAAAAGUUUUCAGCCCCCUUCGCCGCCUCGAUCCAGAUGUCAUUGCUAUUCAGAAAAAGGAAGUUCGUGUUUCUUCAGCAGGUCGGAAAGAGGGAUCUUAAUCAUUGCGAGCUCAAAGAUGAUACUAACUCUGCAUGCGAAGAUAAGCAGAUCACGAUGUAUGCCCUGUCAGUGUCACCACUUUCAGACUCUGGAGUUUGGUGGUCUCUGGGUGACAGUAAUUAUGGCGGAACUGCCCUUCUUGUGAAGCAAAAUUGCUCGCCAAUCUCGAUAUCAUGCUCUUUGGACCAGUCAGAAACCCAGGUCUUCACAUGAUCAUCCAUCUUUGAAGUCAAGGCCCCAGGUCAUGAAGUCAUUUGUGUGGAUCCCACCUCUAGAUGGAAGCAUAUUAAAGCAUGAAGCAGACGGAAGUGUUGUUUUGGCAGAAUUUCCCUCGUUUCGGCUGCUCUACAGACUUGUUCCAAACAAUGGCUGAAAAGAUGAGCAGAAUGGAUUUUCCAGACGGCGCGCUUGGGAUGCACGAAUUCUCGAGUUUGUGAAACUUCCACAUAAGAAACCCCUCAUUUGGUGCGGGGACCUCAAUGUUGGGUGGGUCUUUAUGUUUCAGUCUUCAAAUCUCUUUCGGAUUGAAUUUUGCAAUUUAUCGGAGUGUUGUGUUAAGCUAAAGCUCAUUACACACUUAUGUUCAAAUCAGUGGUUGAAAGAUUUUAUACCCGGAAGUCACAACUCAACUUCAGAUCGAAUUUGAAAUGCAUUUCAUCUGGAUUUGUCUCUACCUGUGAGUCCUUGUUUCAUCUAAACUGCUUACAAUCUUUUUAACCUUUGUGCAACAAUGAAUAUAUUGAUGUGAGUCAUCCAGGACUUUUUGCUAACGCCAAACUCCAGGGUUAUUCACCCUCAAACACUGAGGAUAUUGGGCAGCCAGGGUUCACACUUGCAGAGCGCCAACGUUUUGCUGAUAGUAUUUCAGAGUGUGUGUCCUUUGAAUCCUCUACGUUUGUCUUCAAUCGAUUGGAGUGUGCUCACAACCACAUAGAUGAAACGCUUAGGCGUCAAAUUUUCAAUUUUUCUAUUGCGUUCUAGACGUAUUCGUAAGUUCAGUUGGUUGGCUCAUUGGUACAUGUUGACAAAGAGAUCUGGUUCAACUGCUUCGUUUUUGAAUCAUCCCUUAUGUUCUAACUUCUUUCCGUAUUCGCUCUCAUAUCCAAGUGUGUGCGCUUAGCAUAUGAAUAGUGAUUGAUUACAAUACGGAAAAGACAGCAUAUCUUUCUCAUUCAAUUCUAUUUUUAUGGAUUCUGCAGAGGAGAUUUGGUAGAUACGUAUAGGUAUUUGCACAAACAGCAGGAUUUUGGUACUGGCUUCACCUAGUCAGCAAAUCCUGUUAGAAAGUAAGUCCAAAAGCUCGACGUCUUUUGGAGUUUUUUUUGUUUAUUUCCAUGAAUGCGUCGGUGUACAUGCUUCAAGCUGAAGUAUUGUAUUCAUCACCAGUUGUCCUAAAGCAUUUUCUGGUGGAUUAAUGCUUUUGAGGACUAUUGUUGAUCUGUAUCAAUUUUUUUUUGGACCCGGGACAACGUCAAAUUGCCAGAAAUUUGCUCACAUUCAAUGUAUAUUUUCCAUCUUGACAUGUACCGAGGGAAGCGCAUGAGGAUUGAUUAUUUUUUGUUGUCCAGAAAAAUGCUUGACGGGCUUGUAAGCAGGUGUCUGUGGUAGUGAUCAUUGCCCUAUUACUAUGGAAUUUCGAACUGCUUCCAAGGAAGUUGCAAUGAUUGAGUGUA